UACGUAGGGUGGCAAGCGUUGUUCGGAAUUAUUGGGCGUAAAGGGCGCGUAGGCGGUUCGUUAAGUCAGUUGUGAAAAGCCCGGGAGCUCAACUCCGGAGAGUCGACUGAUACUGGCGGGCUAGAGUACGGAAGAGGUAGCUGGAAUUCCCGGAUGUAGCGGUGAAAUGCGUAGAUAUCGGGAAGGAACACCAGAGGCGGAAGGCGGGCUACUGGGCCGA
rnacentral:rRNA from 1 species